rnacentral:rRNA from 1 species
UUAAGUGACUAAGCGUACACGGUGGAUGCCUGGGCAGUCAGAGGCGAUGAAGGACGUACUAACUUGCGAUAAGCGCAGAUAAGGCAGUAAGAGCCGUUUGAGUCUGCGAUUUCCGAAUGGGGAAACCCAACUGCAUAAGCAGUUACUGUUAACUGAAUNCUCGGUGAAGUAGGUGAACAAGCUGGAAAGCUUGGCGAUACAGGGUGAUAGCCCCGUAACCGACGCUUCAUCGAGCGUGAAAUCGAGUAGGGCGGGACACGUGAUAUCCUGUCUGAAUAUGGGGGGACCAUCCUCCAAGGCUAAAUACUCCUGACUGACCGAUAGUGAACCAGUACCGUGAGGGAAAGGCGAAAAGAACCCCUGUGAGGGGAGUGAAAUAGAACCUGAAACCGUGUACGUACAAGCAGUAGGAGCACCUUCGUGGUGUGACUGCGUACCUUUUGUAUAAUGGGUCAGCGACUUAUAUUCAGUGGCAAGGUUAACCGUAUAGGGGAGCCGUAGCGAAAGCGAGUCUUAACUGGGCGCUCAGUCUCUGGAUAUAGACCCGAAACCGGGUGAUCUAGCCAUGGGCAGGUUGAAGGUUGAGUAACAUCAACUGGAGGACCGAACCGACUAAUGUUGAAAAAUUAGCGGAUGACUUGUGGCUAGGGGUGAAAGGCCAAUCAAACUCGGAGAUAGCUGGUUCUCCCCGAAAGCUAUUUAGGUAGCGCCUCGGACGAAUACUACUGGGGGUAGAGCACUGUUAAGGCUAGGGGGUCAUCCCGACUUACCAACCCUUUGCAAACUCCGAAUACCAGUAAGUACUAUCCGGGAGACACACGGCGGGUGCUAACGUCCGUCGUGGAGAGGGAAACAACCCAGACCGCCAGCUAAGGUCCCAAAGUAUUGCUAAGUGGGAAACGAUGUGGGAAGGCUCAGACAGCUAGGAUGUUGGCUUAGAAGCAGCCAUCAUUUAAAGAAAGCGUAAUAGCUCACUAGUCGAGUCGGCCUGCGCGGAAGAUGUAACGGGGCUAAGCAAUACACCGAAGCUGCGGCAAUNCGCCGGAAGACCAAGGGUUCCUGUCCAACGUUAAUCGGGGCAGGGUGAGUCGACCCCUAAGGUGAGGCCGAAAGGCGUAAUCGAUGGGAAACGGGUUAAUAUUCCCGUACUUCUGACUAUUGCGAUGGGGGGACGGAGAAGGCUAGGUGGGCCAGGCGACGGUUGUCCUGGUUCAAGUGCGUAGGCUUGAGAGUUAGGUAAAUCCGGCUCUCUCUAAGGCUGAGACACGACGUCGAGCUGCUACGGCAGUGAAGUCAUUGAUGCCAUGCUUCCAGGAAAAGCCUCUAAGCUUCAGAUAGUCAGGAAUCGUACCCCAAACCGACACAGGUGGUCGGGUAGAGAAUACCAAGGCGCUUGAGAGAACUCGGGUGAAGGAACUAGGCAAAAUGGUACCGUAACUUCGGGAGAAGGUACGCUCUUGAUGGUGAAGUCCCUCGCGGAUGGAGCUGACGAGAGUCGCAGAUACCAGGUGGCUGCAACUGUUUAUUAAAAACACAGCACUGUGCAAAAUCGCAAGAUGACGUAUACGGUGUGACGCCUGCCCGGUGCCGGAAGGUUAAUUGAUGGGGUUAGCGCAAGCGAAGCUCUUGAUCGAAGCCCCGGUAAACGGCGGCCGUAACUAUAACGGUCCUAAGGUAGCGAAAUUCCUUGUCGGGUAAGUUCCGACCUGCACGAAUGGCGUAAUGAUGGCCACGCUGUCUCCACCCGAGACUCAGUGAAAUUGAAAUCGCUGUGAAGAUGCAGUGUACCCGCGGCUAGACGGAAAGACCCCGUGAACCUUUACUACAGCUUGGCACUGAACAUUGAACCUACAUGUGUAGGAUAGGUGGGAGGCUAUGAAGACGUGACGCCAGUUGCGUUGGAGCCGUCCUUGAAAUACCACCCUUGUAUGUUUGAUGUUCUAACUUAGACCCAUUAUCUGGGUUGAGGACAGUGCCUGGUGGGUAGUUUGACUGGGGCGGUCUCCUCCCAAAGAGUAACGGAGGAGCACGAAGGUGGGCUAAUCACGGUUGGACAUCGUGAGGUUAGUGCAAUGGCAUAAGCCCGCUUAACUGCGAGAAUGACGGUUCGAGCAGGUGCGAAAGCAGGUCAUAGUGAUCCGGUGGUUCUGUAUGGAAGGGCCAUCGCUCAACGGAUAAAAGGUACUCCGGGGAUAACAGGCUGAUACCGCCCAAGAGUUCAUAUCGACGGCGGUGUUUGGCACCUCGAUGUCGGCUCAUCACAUCCUGGGGCUGAAGUCGGUCCCAAGGGUAUGGCUGUUCGCCAUUUAAAGUGGUACGCGAGCUGGGUUUAGAACGUCGUGAGACAGUUCGGUCCCUAUCUGCCGUGGGCGUUGGAAGAUUGAAGGGGGCUGCUCCUAGUACGAGAGGACCGGAGUGGACGAACCUCUGGUGUUCGGGUUGUGUCGCCAGACGCAUUGCCCGGUAGCUAAGUUCGGAAUUGAUAAGCGCUGAAAGCAUCUAAGCGCGAAGCGAGCCCUGAGAUGAGUCUUCCCUGA